UAUAACGCUAAGAUCAGGAGUAGUAGGGAAAUUGCUGUUCAAAUGAAGAGAGCUGCGGGAUGGUGCAACGCAGUGGCAGCAAGCCUGAACUCGCCUGUGAGCGGAUCGGCGGAAUGAAGUACGCUGAUACGGAAGCCCCCGUCAUCGGGCGUACAUGACGAUAUAUUUCUAGGCUGUGGCCUGCGUGUAUCGACAUGUGCAUGAAGCGGAUGAGGCUUCAUCUAUCGCGAAGAUGGAGUUCAUCAACUAGAGUGGUACCACGGCAGAUCACCUGUCGUCUCUAAC
rnacentral:ncRNA from 1 species